AUUUAUAUAGUUUAAUAAAACAUUACAUUUUCAUUGUAAAAUUAAAAUAUAUUUUUUUAUAAAUA
rnacentral:tRNA from 1 species